GGGGCUGGGGCUCAAUGGUAGAGUGUUCCCCUAGCAUGGGUGAGGCAUUGGGUUCAAUCCUCAGCACCA
rnacentral:tRNA from 1 species